rnacentral:misc_RNA from 1 species
GAUGAAGAACGCAGCAAAAUGCGAUAAGUAAUGUGAAUUGCAGAAUUCAGUGAAUCAUCGAAUCUUUGAACGCACAUUGCGCCCGCCAGUAUUCUGGCGGGCAUGCCUGUUCGAGCGUCAUUUCAACCCUCAAGCACAGCUUGGUGUUGGGACUCGCGUUAAUUCGCGUUCCCCAAAUUGAUUGGCGGUCACGUCGAGCUUCCAUAGCGUAGUAGUAAAACCCUCGUUACUGGUAAUCGUCGCGGCCACGUCGUUAAACCCCAACUUCUGAAUGUUGACCUCGGAUCAGGUAGGAAUACCCGCUGAACUUAAGCAUAUCAAUAAGCGGAGGA